GCUACGGUGGUCUAGCGGUUAGAACGCUGGCCUUGUAAUCCUGGGGUCUCGGGUUCGAUUCCCGGUGGUGCCC
rfam:Zootermopsis nevadensis contig9783, whole genome shotgun sequence.